UGGAGAUCACAACUUGCCGGAUAGCCCAUUUGCGUCCCCUACCAAGUCUGCCGCGCUCGUGCACGACAGUUUCGCCGCCACGGAGCAUGAGAACACCGCGUCCCUUGUUGGGAGCAAGAUCGACGUCGGCAGUAACCAUCUCCGCCCCCUGCGCUGGAAAUCCCUUCGCCCAGCUCCUACUUCUUCCCCAUGCGCAGGCUGUCCUCCGAUCACGGAGCCAUGGGGAUGUAAAGUUCAGCAUUGGAAGCGAGUGAUACCCUAGCCUAAUCAUAGAAUACUAGAAGCCAAGGAAAAGUGAUGAUGGAUAUAUAGGGAAGAAAGAGAGUUGAGUGUCAGCAUAGUGUUAGCUCCCACUUUCUUUUGUUCUUUUAGUCCGUACCUUUUUAGUGGAUAGUUCUACUAAACCACAAGAGGAGAAGAUGCCAUUAGCCUUGAUUAAGAAAACGGCGGCAUAUGCAAUAUUAUCGCCAAAUAUAAGUAUAUAUAUAUAUAGGUGAGUGUCUGUGCGUUGCAACGGAGACAUAUAAUACAUAAGUUACCGUGAUAUUAUAUGUCCCCAUUGCAACGCAUGGGUACUCACCUAGUUGUACAAUAUGUUCGUUCGGAGCAUGAGGCUAGCCGCACUUGUCUGCUGCAAAGCUCACCACAGUAACAAUUUGCAGUAAGUAGUGCUACACCGAUGUACUGGAUGACCUGUUGUAUCCUUCUGUAGAUCCUCUACAAUCCCAAAUAUGGAGUAGAUGUCGUUCUACUGCA